ACGGAAGGCAGCAGUGGGGAAUAUUGGGCAAUGGGGGAAACCCUGACCCAGCAACGCCGCGUGAAGGAAGAAGGCUUUCGGGUUGUAAACUUCUUUUACCAGGGACGAAGGACGUGACGGUACCUCAUGAAUAAGCCACGGCUAACUACGUGCCAGCAGCCGCGGUAAUACGUAGGUGGCAAGCGUUAUCCGGAUUUACUGGGUGUAAAGGGCGCGUAGGCGGGGAUGCAAGUCAGAUGUGAAAUCUAUGGGCUUAACUCAUAAACUGCAUUUGAAACUGUAUCUCUUGAGUGUCGGAGAGGUAGAUGGAAUUCCUUGUGUAGCGGUGAAAUGCGUAGAUAUAAGGAAGAACACCAGUGGCGAAGGCGAUCUACUGGACGAUAACUGACGCUGAGGCGCGAAAGCGUGGGGAGCAAACAGGAUUAGAUACCCUGGUA
rnacentral:rRNA from 1 species